AUGGCCCGUGCUACUGUUCCGUUGAAUUUUAAUGCGUUCCUAGAGAAAGCUAAGUUGAAACAUGAUGGCAGCAACUACACAGAUUGGGUCCAUAACUUGAGGAUUAUCCUCAUUGCUGCACAGAAGAAUUACGUCCUGGAAGCACCGCUAGGUGCAAGACCCGCUGCAGGAGCAACGCCGGACGUUGUGAACGCCUGGCAGAGCAAAGCUGAUGACUACUCGAUAGUUCAGUGUGCCAUGCUUUACCGCUUAGAACCGGGACUUCAACGACGUUUUGAACGUCAUGGAGCAUAUGACAUGUUCCAGGAGUUGAAGUUAAUAUUUCAAGCAAAUGUCCGGAUCGAGAGAUAUGAAGUCUCCAAUAAGUUCUACAGCUGCAAAAUGGAGGAGAAUAGUUCUGUCAGUGAGGAUAUACUCAGAAUGUCUGGGUACCACAAUCAUUUGACUCAACUGGGAGUUAAUCUUCCGGUUGAUAGUGUCAUUGACAGAGUUCUUCAAUCACUGCCACCAAGCUACAAAAGCUUCGUGAUGAACUAUAAUAUGCAAGGGAUGGAUAAGACAAUUGCCGAGCUCUUCGCAAUGCUAAAGGCUGCGGAGGUAGAAACCAAGAAGGAACAUCAAGUGUUGGCGGUCAACAAGACCACCAGUUUCAAGAAGAAGGGCAAAGGGAAGAAGGGGAACUUCAAGAAGAACGGCAAGCAAGUUGCUGCCCAAGUGAAGAAGCCCAGUCUGGAGCUAAGCCUGAGACUGAGUGCUUCUACUGCAAAGGGACUGGUCACUAGAAGCGGAACUGCCCCAAGUAUUUGGCGGAUAAGAAGGAUGGCAAAGUGA
rnacentral:rRNA from 1 species